GAUGAACGCUGGCGGCGUGCCUAAUACAUGCAAGUAGAACGCUGAAGCUUGGUGCUUGCACCGAGCGGAUGAGUUGCGAACGGGUGAGUAACGCGUAGGUAACCUGCCUGGUAGCGGGGGAUAACUAUUGGAAACGAUAGCUAAUACCGCAUAACAGUCGACAUUGCAUGAUGUUGAUUUGAAAGGGGCAAUUGCUCCACUACCAGAUGGACCUGCGUUGUAUUAGCUAGUUGGUGAGGUAACGGCUCACCAAGGCGACGAUACAUAGCCGACCUGAGAGGGUGAUCGGCCACACUGGGACUGAGACACGGCCCAGACUCCUACGGGAGGCAGCAGUAGGGAAUCUUCGGCAAUGGGGGCAACCCUGACCGAGCAACGCCGCGUGAGUGAAGAAGGUUUUCGGAUCGUAAAGCUCUGUUGUAAGAGAAGAACGAGUGU
rnacentral:rRNA from 1 species